UGGGGAAUAUUGCACAAUGGGCGCAAGCCUGAUGCAGCAACGCCGCGUGAACGAUGAAGGUCUUCGGAUCAUAAAGUUCUGUUGCAGGGGAAGAUAAUGACGGUACCCUGUGAGGAAGCCCCGGCUAACUACGUGCCAGCAGCCGCGGUAAUACGUAGGGGGCUAGCGUUAUCCGGAUUUACUGGGCGUAAAGGGUGCGUAGGUGGUCUUUCAAGUCGGUGGUUAAAGGCUACGGCUCAACCGUAGUUAGCCUCCGAAACUGGAAGACUUGAGUGCAGGAGAGGAAAGUGGAAUUCCCAGUGUAGCGGUGAAAUGCGUAGAUAUUGGGAGGAACACCAGUAGCGAAGGCGGCUUUCUGGACUGCAACUGACACUGAGGCACGAAAGCGUGGGUAGCAAACAGG
rnacentral:rRNA from 1 species